CAAACUGUCACGGCUGCCUGGGGUUGGGGACAUCUCGCGUGACACGUGUUGGAUCGUCAGAUCAGAGUGGGAGCAGCACAGCUUUGGGAGCCUAAAAAUAGGUGCGUCAUGGGUUAAAUCCUGAGGCUUGAGCUCAGUUCUUCUUGAAGCCUGCGGGAAGUGCCAGAAUAAGAAGUGGAUGAGGAUCUCGGUGUGCAGACUUUGGAGAAGAUUGCUCAGUCCUGCGUCCAAGAGAAUCAGAGAAUACUGAUGGGGGUGAGGAGCUGAACUUCUGUGAAUCAGGAAGAAAUGCUGGCAAACUUGCGCUGACUUUGGAGAUGCUCAAAAUUUGCAAGAGGUUAGAAAUGAUUUUACAAUAAAAUUUAUGCAGA
rnacentral:lncRNA from 1 species